rnacentral:lncRNA from 1 species
GCGAAUUGAAUUUUUGAAACCCAGAAUUAAUUCAUCCUUGAAAGUCAAGGCUAGGGAGUCCUGAGGAUCCUCCUCUAGCCACCAUCCAAGCACGGUUCCAUUUCUCUCAUUUUUCCAUUGUGCUCCACAGAUUCUCUCUCCUCCACCAUAACAUCAUUUCCUCCAAUCCACUUCAGUGUGUGGCUCGCGUCAACACUCCAGUCAGCAUCACAUCACAUUCUCAUUGCUUUUGCGAAUUCUCCAACGCGAAACACGUCAUCAUUGCGUUUUUCUUCUCAAGGAUUCUCACUCUCGAGGCUUCACAAUCACCGAACAACAUAUUCGAUUCUCCUCGCCUAAUCACUCUCACAAAGCCUUCAUCUUUGUUAUUCACAUCAUCGAAUCACAUUUCUCAUCUCAAAUCUUCAUCGUACCAGCCAUAUCCCCUUUGAACCAUAUAUUCUCGAUUGAUUCCACAGAUUCGUUCUACAACCUUCCACAUUGGCUAUGGUUUCAUUCCUAUUCAAAUUUCCAACCUUUUCCACCGAUUGAACAUCUUUUCCAUCAAUUAAUUUGUCUUUUACCACUAAAUCUCCAACCUCCACCAAACAAAGUUGGGAGCCUAGGGUUUCAAGAGUUCGUUCGCGGUUUCAUGCUUUCCUUCGCACCUACGAUUUUUUAUCCUUCUGAUAUGUUUACUCGUGGAGUGGUGAAGAAUACCUGCAACCAAGAAUGGGUGGAACUCAACUAGUCAAGGUAACAGGUGUUAUUCAUUGACCAAAGAAACCCAGAGUGGUUAGAAUACUCAAUUGUAAUCUUUUUGAAAAUUAUAGUAAACCCUUUAAGGUAUUAGAGGAGAAUAGAUGUAACUUAAUAGAGUAAACC